rnacentral:rRNA from 1 species
GGGCCCGCACAAGCGGCGGAGCAUGCGGAUUAAUUCGAUGCAACGCGAAGAACCUUACCAAGGCUUGACAUAUAGAGGAAAAGUGCAGAAAUGCACUCCCCGCAAGGUCUCUAUACAGGUGGUGCAUGGUUGUCGUCAGCUCGUGUCGUGAGAUGUUGGGUUAAGUCCCGCAACGAGCGCAACCCUCGUCCUAUGUUGCCAGCACGUAAUGGUGGGAACUCAUGGGAUACUGCCGGGGUCAACUCGGAGGAAGGUGGGGAUGACGUCAAAUCAUCAUGCCCCUUAUGUCUUGGGCUUCACGCAUGCUACAAUGGCCGGUACAGAGGGCUGCAAUACCGCAAGGUGGAGCGAAUCCCAAAAAGCCGGUCUCAGUUCGGAUUGAGGUCUGCAACUCGCCUACGUG